rnacentral:rRNA from 1 species
GACGAACGCUGGCGGCGUGCUUAACACAUGCAAGUCGAACGGAGCGAAUGAAAGCUUGCUUUUAUGAGCUUAGUGGCAAACGGGUGAGUAACACGUAGACAACCUGCCGACAGGAUGGGGACAACAUUCCGAAAGGAAUGCUAAUACCGAAUGAAGCGGAGGAGAGGCAUCUCUCUUCCGUGAAAGAUGGCCUCUAUUUAUAAGCUAUCACCUGUCGAUGGGUCUGCGUCUGAUUAGCUAGUUGGUGAGGUAACGGCUCACCAAGGCGACGAUCAGUAGCCGGUCUGAGAGGAUGAACGGCCACAUUGGGACUGAGACACGGCCCAGACUCCUACGGGAGGCAGCAGUGGGGAAUCUUCCGCAAUGGGCGCAAGCCUGACGGAGCAACGCCGCGUGAGUGAAGAAGGUCUUCGGAUCGUAAAGCUCUGUUGAUGGGGACGAACGUGCGAAG